rnacentral:tRNA from 1 species
GGGGCUAUAGCUCAGCUGGGAGAGCGCUUGCAUGGCAUGCAAGAGGUCGACGGUUCGAUCCCGUCUAGCUCC